rnacentral:rRNA from 1 species
UACGGGGGGGGCAAGCGUUGUCCGGAAUUAUUGGGCGUAAAGAGCUCGUAGGCGGCUUGUCGCGUCGACUGUGAAAACCCGGGGCUCAACUCUGGGCUUGCAGUCGAUACGGGCAGGCUUGAGUGCGGUAGGGGAGACUGGAAUUCCUGGUGUAGCGGUGAAAUGCGUAGAUAUCAGGAGGAACACCGGUGGCGAAGGCGGCCCUCUGGACGGAUACUGACGCUGAGGAGCGAAAGCAUGGGGAGCGAACAGG